rnacentral:rRNA from 1 species
UGCAUAGCCGACCUGAGAGGGUGAUCGGCCACACUGGAACUGAGACACGGUCCAGACUCCUACGGGAGGCAGCAGUAGGGAAUCUUCCGCAAUGGGCGAAAGCCUGACGGAGCAACGCCGCGUGAGUGAUGAAGGUCUUCGGAUCGUAAAACUCUGUUAUUAGGGAAGAACAUAUGUGUAAGUAACUGUGCACAUCUUGACGGUACCUAAUCAGAAAGCCACGGCUAACUACGUGCCAGCAGCCGCGGUAAUACGUAGGUGGCAAGCGUUAUCCGGAAUUAUUGGGCGUAAAGCGCGCGUAGGCGGUUUUUUAAGUCUGAUGUGAAAGCCCACGGCUCAACCGUGGAGGGUCAUUGGAAACU